rnacentral:rRNA from 1 species
UACGGGGGGGGCAAGCGUUGUUCGGAAUUACUGGGCGUAAAGGGCUCGUAGGUGGCCAACUAAGUCAGACGUGAAAUCCCUCGGCUUAACCGGGGAACUGCGUCUGAUACUGAAUGGCUUGAGUUUGGGAGAGGGAUGCGGAAUUCCAGGUGUAGCGGUGAAAUGCGUAGAUAUCUGGAGGAGCACCGGUGGCGAAGGCGGCAUCCUGGACCAAUACUGACACUGAGGAGCGAAAGCCAGGGGAGCAAACGGG